rnacentral:snRNA from 1 species
UCGCUGGAAUUUUGUGUUUGUU